AAAAUGUAUCACACCGGAAGGAGGAAGGAACCUUACAGUAUUUGUUUUUCUGUUCACCAUGCCAGGUGCUACAUCAAGCAUGAGUAUGCAGUCCAGCUGAUACGCUCACCGACACUGAGGACUGCAGCUAUUCAGAACAGUGUCAUGAAACUGACACUACCCAAGCACUCUCUUGGCUUCCGUAGAGCCCUGCUUUUCUCUCACCCAGCAUCAUUGCAUCAAAUCCCUGAAGUCUCUAGAUUUCAGUGCAACUGUUGAUAACCUGUCCUUGCUUAUUGCCAGGGCCCCAUCCCUUCAAGUGCAUGUGGGAAGAGAAGUCGGAUGCUCUUUCAGUAGGCAGGUUUGUAUUAGAUUGAGGACUGUUAACAUGCUCUAGGGACAACCCACAGCCAUUGGACUCAUAGGAGGUGAUUUCUGGUCAAUUCCCAGCCUUCCUGUUCCCUAGGACAUUUCCAAGGUACAAACUGAAAAGUUCUCCAACAGGACUGAACCUCCCACUCAGUACAAAGUGAUAAGGAACUAAUUCCUGUAUCUUUUAUUAAUAUCGCUUCCUUGCCUGUCUGUCCCUGAUCCUCGUUUCUACUUCUUAAGAAGACCUCCCUCAUGAAUUUCCUCUACUUAAGUCUUUGUCAAAGAGGCUUCUUUGGAAAGAAAUAAACAAGGCCUUCCCUAAGAAUCUGUAACUGCUAUGUUUGUUAAUGGACUACAGUGUGCAUCCUACCAUUCAGUUGAGUAUUGCAAUAUCUAAGUUACUUUGGGGAUUACUCUGUGGCAUCAUAUCUCUAACUACAUGACAGAAGUUACUGGUAACACGUGUAAAUUUGCUCUUUGGAAUUCAGUUAUUUAAUAAAGCAAGAGAUAAUCUUUACCACACAUUAACAUGACCACUUUGAAAUUUGCAAGAAGCCUAAUGAUUUUACAUGAAUAUUUCAAAAUCAUUUUCCGAGGCUUCCUUCUAGCCCACUCCUGGCAGCAAUUUGCUGUUAAUUUCCUUUGUGGUCUUGAAUGAGUCCAAAGUGGUAGGUGAAGUGGUUGUGUUCUCUUUCUUUUAAAAAAUUUCACUCCAAAUCUCUUUUUGCCUACACCGAUACCUC
rnacentral:lncRNA from 1 species